rnacentral:rRNA from 1 species
AUGAAACGCUGGCGGCGUGCUUAACACAUGCAAGUCGAACGGGAUCCGACCAGCUUGCUGGUUGGUGAGAGUGGCGAACGGGUGAGUAAUGCGUGACCAACCUGCCCCAUGCUCCAGAAUAGCUCUUGGAACGGGUGGUAAUGCUGGAUGCUCCAACUUGACGCAUGUCUUGUUGGGAAAGUGUUUAGUGGCAUGGGAUGGGGUCGCGUCCUAUCAGCUUGUAGGCGGGGUAAUGGCCCACCUAGGCUUCGACGGGUAGCCGGCCUGAGAGGGCGGACGGCCACAUUGGGACUGAGAUACGGCCCAGACUCCUACGGGAGGCAGCAGUGGGGAAUAUUGCGCAAUGGGGGAAACCCUGACGCAGCGACGCCGCGUGCGGGAUGAAGGCCUUCGGGUUGUAAACCGCUUUUGAUUGGGAGCAAGCCUUUGGGUGAGUGUACCUUUCGAAUAAGCGCCGGCUAACUACGUGCCAGCAGCCGCGGUAAAU